ensembl:lncRNA
GCAAAAGAGAGUCCAAACCAGGACUAGCAAAGUGUACCUAAUAUAGCUGUUUAGUGUGUGUGUAAAAUAAAUAAAUAAUAUGGUAAUGGCUCUUUCCACUACUGAUAUAUAUAAAGUUUAAUUAGACUGUAAAACUAAAUCUUACUUUAGAUAAAUUUUAUUUUGUGAUUUCAUAAUGUGUACUAAACUGUAGUUAAAAUAAAUGUCAGGAUUCCUUUAUUUCACAUAUUGUAGCCUGUAAAUCAGGUUUGAGAGUCAGAGCUGAGGAGAAAACUUUGGCUCUCUCUGCUCCUCCAUCAGUGACCCUCCCCCCGCGCACCUGCACUGCAGCUCUCAAACUUUUGCAGGGCAUGUGACGUCAUUCAGUCCACAGUCGGAGUAGCCGUUUAAGUGGAGCUCUGAAGACUGCAAAGCACGCUUUCUGCAGAGUUGUAGGUCACAAUUUUUACAGCAGGUUCACCUGCAUGAGCGCUCACUGCUAAGACACCUGUAUAUUUAUUGAGGUGAAGGAAGCCACGGCAGCAAGCCAAAUACAGACGAUAACGUGGCGCUCGCAUGCAGUGAUAAUGGCUGUUCUGAUAGUGGUGUUUUUUGUGACUCCAGAUGGCUAAUAUUUGACAUAGCAGCUACUCCGUGUCCCCCAGAGAAAUGAAAAAGGAGGAGGCAGUGAGAUGGAUGAAGGUGGAAGUUCUGAGCAUUUCUCCUCUCAAAAGAGACCGGAGCCCACCAGUGAAGAGAGUUCAGAUGUAGAUGAAGAGAGCAAGGAAGCAAGACUGGCUUUGAGGAAAAGGCGAAAAACCAAAGUGGCCAAAGCAAAGGAUCCCCCGUGCGAAGGUCAAGAGGCCAUGGAGUGAAGCAGAGAAGACGGCAGUGCAAAGACGGCUGGGAAUUAUGUAGGAAGCAGGAAGGUCAUACUGGUACAGUUGUAGCCAUCCUAAGCUUUACUGAUUUUUCUUUUUGGCAGAAGUCAAAACAAACCGAUCAAAGUUAUUGAUCACUAUUUUAGUUGUAAGUCAUUAGACUUAAUAGUUGUCUUCAUUGUUAUAAUAGCAAUUAUUAUUCCUCUGGAAGGAUGUUACAUUGUGAAAUAAACUGAAUUUGCUCUUGUU